GUAGAAGCCUCCUCCCGUGUGUAAUUUGGAAGGGCUGUUCACGAAGGCCUCCAGAGCUCUGCACUUCUGCAUCUCAUAUCUGACCAAGGGUGAGCCCUCAGGGAGUUCAUAGAGCAACUUUUCUCCCUUUGGGCUGGGGGUGGGGGCAGGGAUGGGGGAGGGUAGAGCAGGACCGUCGCCAGCUGACUUAUCUGGUGACUGGCACUGGCACCUGGAGAUGCCUCAAUUCCUCAUUCUGUCACCCAGAUACUCAAUAUGCCCGUCUUUAUUUAUUUUUGACUAAGUAAUAUGUGCAGAUGGUACCAAAUUCAAAUGAUACAGAAAGAUGUCGUAGUUUGUCUCUCCCUGCCCCACCCCCCACUUCCCAGUUACCCUCCCCAGUGGCAUUACUGCCCAUUUCUUGUGUCUCCUUCCAGAGAUCCAGUGUCCUUUUAAUGUCCCCAAUUACCAUCAUCCCCCUCACCCCGUGGGCCAUGCUCGCCAUCCCUCCCCUCAAUCCUUCCUUCCUCCAACCUCGCCACAGCACAUCUGUUGGGACAGAUGACUUGUUUCCCAUGUUAAGAGCUGAUGAGGCCAGGCAUGGUGGCUGAUGCCUGUAAUCCCAGCACUUUGGGAGGCGGAGGCAGGUGGAUCACUGGAGGUCAGGAGUUCGAGACCAGCCUGGCCAACAUGGUGAAAACCUCUCUCUUACUAAAAAUACAAAAAUUAGCCAGGCAUGGUUGUGGGUGCCUCUAAGCCCAACUACUAAGGAGGCUGAGGCAGGAGAAUUGCUUGAACCUGGGGGGUGGAGGCUGCAAUGAGCUGAGAUCACACCAUUGAACUCCAGUCUGGGCGACAAGAGGGAAGCUCCAUCUCAAUAAACAGCGACAACAACAAAAAAGCUGAUGACUGUACUCCUGCCAAGGAGUUUAUCUGGGGAAGGAAGGUGCUUAGCAGAAAUGAGUCUGUAGAGGUAAAUGUGGGGCAAGAGUGUGGGGAAAGGGCUUUUAUUUAUGGGGUGGUUUUCGUAGUCUUGUGCCUUAGACUUCACUCGGUAGGGUUUGCCCUGUCCAGGGCAAGUACAGAGGACUCACCGGAAGGAAGGCGAUGGGGGCAGUUUAUCUUAUGUGGCUGAGGUAUAAAAAUAGUGUGGUUGUUAUUAUGGCUCAUAUUUAUAGGGUUUCCUCUGUCCACCUCGCAAGGCUUUGUUGAGCUCCAGUGAGUAGCCCACUUCCAUCUGCCCAUCUGGCUUGGACUUUCUGUACUUAUCUUAGUCCCAUGGCUGUGCUCCUGCAGGGCCAGGCAGAUGAUGGCAGCCGACAAUGUGCAUCUCAAAGGGACGACCACCCGAGGAAGGAUCCACAGGAAAUGUCGCAGGGGGUGGGUCGUGCCACAGCCCCUGGAAACGAGCCAGGAUGUUGCCCUUGAUCUUGCCUGCAUUCUGGCUUUGCACAUUGAGGGAGUUCUUACCACGCGCCAUGCCUUUCUGGGCAGUGCGGCUGCAUCUUUCACACAUGGCUAUUCUCUUAGCAGUUUCUUACCCUGUACAGUUUAAAAACAAACAUCUUACCUAACCUGGAGUGCUUUCUACAUGCCCAUGACACCUUUCUCCUUACAGAGGAUGAAGAACCACGGAAAAACUUGGGGCUCCGAUAUUGCGAACUCCCUAAAUUCUCCCACCUCCUUUCCCACAUAACCUGAUGCUCAGCCUACUGCUGACAAGCGUCAGCCCAGCGGAGGCCCGUCUGCUCUGCCUUCGUCAUUUCUAGUCCCCUUCGGUUAUGUUUCAUGUUCCUCAUUCUCACAAGAAAGAAUCCCUUCCCUUCUACAGAUGGACGGCCCGUCUGUAGGCUGGUGCCAUCCUUCGAGGUCAGCUGGUGAUACACACUGAGAGGGAACCUAGGUCCAGAAUGUGCUUGUCCACUGCCUCUUUCCUUUGUCAUCUUCAUUCUGCCGUUGAGCCUAUCUAGUGGGUUUUUACAAUUUCAGUUACUGUAUGUUUAGUUCGAAGUUUUCCAUUUGGUUCUCCUUUAUACCUUCUGUUUCUUUCCUGAGACUUCUCAUCAUUCCCUUUAUGUUAAGAAUACCCCUCCUUACUUCUUGGAGUGUUUUUUGUAAUAGCUGCUGUGGAGUCUGUCAGCUAAUUCCAAUGUCUCUGUUAGCUCAGAUAAGAUGUUGAUCAUCUUUUCCCAUGCGAGUUGAGGAUAUUCACCUUCUUUGUAUGCUGAGUGGUUCUGGAUUGGUCCUGAACAUUCUGAAUAUUACGUUAGGAAGCUGUGGUUCCUGAUUCAGUCCUCUGGAGAGUUGUUGGUAGCUUGGUUGUGGCAGGCACUCCACCAGCUUGGGUUCAGGUUCUCAGUCCCUACCAUUCUGCUGUGGGUUUUGGUGCCGUUUUCCAAGCCUUUGUCCACUCUUCAGAUCUGUCCACUAUGUAGCACUCCAUGGCCUGUGUGGGCCCCGGGCAUGCUCCGUCCUAACCUUCAGUGCUCAGGGUCUGUGCUUGAGGGCUCUGUUUACAUAUGCCUCGCUCAGGGCUGAGCCCAGGAGCUCGUAACAACUUGAUGGGGUUGUUUUCCCGAGAGCUCCUCCCUCUCUGCAAUCUCUCGAGCACUUUCCGGUUUCCUGGGCCUCCUAUCUUCACCCCUUCAGCCAGGAGGCAGGGCUUCAGUUAUCAGCUCUGCCACGCUUCUCCCGUGACUGAGCUUACUUUUGUGGCCAAGCAAGAAGAGGACACGGAGAAAAAAAGCCAGCGGGUUUUUCACCCUCUUUGGACCACCGUUCCUCCAGCUGGAAAGGAAGGUUUCCUCAGAGCUUCAGACACCUGCAGGCUGACCCCUCUGCUGGCACUGUCACUGUUGCCACCACUGCCGCUGUGGAAUUUCCUGGGGACCAGGGCACCAGAGAGACAGGGAGAAAGGAAAAAACCCAGGGAUCUGGCCCACUGUCUCAGAACCAGGUGACCCCUUUCCUGUUACUAGAUGCUUCUCCUGGAGCCCCCGGGCACACUCUUGCUCGCCUCUGGAUAUCGAGUUGUAUUUAGUCCAGGCUGGGGAUACCAGGGUCAGGGACAUGGCAAACUCACCGCAACCUUGGUGGCACUUCAAAUUCUGGUCUUCAACCCCCUUCUACCUGCUACUGGUCAAUUCUCAGAGGCCUCAGUAGCUCCUUUGUGUGCCUGUCUAGCCUUUUAGCCACAUUCAGUGGGCAGGGAAGGGUGGCGGGGGUGGUGCUUACCCUGUGGAGUAACCAUAAGGAAACCAGAACCAUAAGGAAAUGAGAAGAUGUGUUUUAAAGGCCUUAAACAGAAACGUCUGGGAUUACAAACAGAAAUGAGGAAGUCAGGAAUAAAGUAAAGGGUGAAUGAUUAGGUGAGAGUGAGCAGAAGCGCCUGAUAUGCAGGAUCCUGUGGGCCUCUGGAGCCCAUCCCCUAACUCCCUCACCCAUCUUUCCAUGUGCACCUUGCAGAGGGAGGAGGGAAGCCCUCUGCACCCACCCCGCCUUCCAGGUUGAGACAAAGGCUUCGACCGUCAGCACGCGAGCCUAUCCUUUCCACGGGGAGUGUCAGAAAGGUAUCGAUGGAGACAUGGAAAGGGGUUUCUAAGAGUCAAGAGUCUUUAAUGCAUGAUAUCAAGUGUCUGUAUCCAGGUAGUCACCCAUGUGCAGAGCCUCAUGCUGCACGAUUGGAUCUGGGCUUGAUAAAGAAUUUAGUGUCUCAAAGCAGAUCUCUCUCUCUCUCUCUCUUUCUCUCACUCUCACCCUCUCCCCCCUUUUUUUCUCAAAAAAC
rnacentral:lncRNA from 1 species